UACAGAGGUGGCAAGCGUUGUUCGGAAUUACUGGGCGUAAAGGGCGCGUAGGCGGCCUACUAAGUCAGACGUGAAAUCCCCAGGCUUAACUUGGGAACUGCGUCUGAUACUGGAAGGCUUGAGUGCGGGAGAGGGAUGUGGAAUUCCAGGUGUAGCGGUGAAAUGCGUAGAUAUCUGGAGGAACACCGGUGGCGAAGGCGGCAUCCUGGACCGACACUGACGCUGAGGCGCGAAAGCUAGGGGAGCAAACGGGG
rnacentral:rRNA from 1 species